GGUUAAGCGACUAAGCGUACACGGUGGAUGCCCUGGCAGUCAGAGGCGAUGAAGGGCGUGCUAAUCUGCGAUAAGCGCCGGUAAGGUGAUAUGAACCGUUAUAACCGGCGAUACCCGAAUGGGGAAACCCAGUGUGACUCGUCACACUAUCAUUAACUGAAUCCAUAGGUUAAUGAGGCGAACCGGGGGAACUGAAACAUCUAAGUACCCCGAGGAAAAGAAAUCAACCGAGAUUCCCCCAGUAGCGGCGAGCGAACGGGGAGGAGCCCAGAGCCUGAAUCAGCAUGUGUGUUAGUGGAAGCGUCUGGAAAGGCGCGCGAUACAGGGUGACAGCCCCGUACACAAAAGCGCAUGUGCUGUGAGCUCGAUGAGUAGGGCGGGACACGUGAUAUCCUGUCUGAAUAUGGGGGGACCAUCCUCCAAGGCUAAAUACUCCUGACUGACCGAUAGUGAACCAGUACCGUGAGGGAAAGGCGAAAAGAACCCCGGCGAGGGGAGUGAAAAAGAACCUGAAACCGUGUACGUACAAGCAGUGGGAGCACCCUUUUGGGUGUGACUGCGUACCUUUUGUAUAAUGGGUCAGCGACUUAUAUUCUGUAGCAAGGUUAACCGAAUAGGGGAGCCGGAGGGAAACCGAGUCUUAACCGGGCGUUAAGUUGCAGGGUAUAGACCCGAAACCCGGUGAUCUAGCCAUGGGCAGGUUGAAGGUUGGGUAACACUAACUGGAGGACCGAACCGACUAAUGUUGAAAAAUUAGCGGAUGACCUGUGGCUGGGGGUGAAAGGCCAAUCAAACCGGGAGAUAGCUGGUUCUCCCCGAAAGCUAUUUAGGUAGCGCCUCGUGAAUUCAUCUCCGGGGGUAGAGCACUGUUUCGGCUAGGGGGCCAUCCCGGCUUACCAACCCGAUGCAAACUGCGAAUACCGGAGAAUGUUAUCACGGGAGACACACGGCGGGUGCUAACGUCCGUCGUGAAGAGGGAAACAACCCAGACCGCCAGCUAAGGUCCCAAAGUCAUGGUUAAGUGGGAAACGAUGUGGGAAGGCCCAGACAGCCAGGAUGUUGGCUUAGAAGCAGCCAUCAUUUAAAGAAAGCGUAAUAGCUCACUGGUCGAGUCGGCCUGCGCGGAAGAUGUAACGGGGCUAAACCAUGCACCGAAGCUGCGGCAGCGAACGUAUCACUUAAAGCGAUUCAGCGGGUUACGAUUGACGGAGCGAAGCGACGUCAAAGCGUAUACAAAGUCGAGUCGGUUUA
rnacentral:rRNA from 1 species